rnacentral:misc_RNA from 1 species
UCCGAGUUGACCCCGGCUGUCACCUACAUGUCAAGCCCAGGUAAGGUUCUUCGCGUUGCGUCGAAUUGAACCACAUGCUCCGCUGCUUGUGCGGGUCCCCGUCAAUUCCUUUGAGUUUUAGCCUUGCGGCCGUACUCCCCAGGCGGGGCACUUAAUGCGUUAGCUUCGGCACCGGAGGAGUCGACACCUCCGACACCUAGUGCCCAUCGUUUACGGCGUGGACUAC